rnacentral:lncRNA from 1 species
AAUUCGUUGUUUCUUGGCUAACCUUCACAAAUGCUAAUUCUGAUUGCUUCGGAUUAGAAAUAUUACCUCGAGGUCUUUUUAGGCAUGUUUUCAAAUGGUUAUUCAAAUUUGUUGUAGAACCCGAAGUUGAUUCCAUGGUGUAAGUAACAUCACAGGUAUUGCACCUUGCUCUCUUCUCCCCCUCUUUAGUCACAAAUUUGGUGAAAUGGUUCCAACAAGCUGAUCUUGGAGUAAU